rnacentral:RNase_P_RNA from 1 species
AUGGUGUAGUGGGCGAUUGCUUAAUAUCUUUAAGAGGAAAGUCCGGACUACAAUGGAGCGGGAUUCCAUCUAACAGAUGGCUAUCGUAAGGUAAGGGAAAGUGCAACAGAAAAUAAACCACUAAAUAUUUUAGUAAGGGUGAAAUGGCGAGGUAAGAGCUCACCGGAUUUUAAGUAAUUAAAAUCGCAAUGCAAACCCAAUUCGUAGCAAGAAGAGUAGGUUAUAAGCUCCAUAUUUUUAGCUCUUUGCUGAAAUGUUAUUGUGAAAUAGCAUUUAGAUAAAUAAUCGCUUUUAACAGAAUCCGGCUUAUAGCUACACCUUAUAA